CCGUAGAUUAUUCCCGCUCUGCCGACGCGAACGUCCCGCUUUGCAGACGCUCCCGCUUCGCAGUCGCUUUGGUCGCGUAGGUUAGGCGGAAGCUUAACUGUGAAAUUCUGUCAUGUAAG